AUGUAUUAUAAAAAUAUGAACGAUUCAACACAAAACUAUAUGAAUAGUAAUAACUUAUCAAAAGGAGUAGAUAUAAAAAAAACAAAAACUGAAGAAACAGUAGGCCUCUAUAGAAAUAAUGAAUCACAAAAAAAUCGAUUUUAUUUAAAUACAAACGUUAAUGUUAACUCUAGUGACUCCAACAAUAACCCAAAUAUGAAUAACGAAGUGAACGGGUCUAAUAAUUCCGUUGUAGGACUAAAUUACAUAAAAGGGAAUGUAAAUUACACCAAUAACAUGAGCAACACAAACAACAUGAGCAACACAAACAAUAUGAAUAACACAAACAAUAUGAAUAAUGUGAAUAACACAAACAGUAUGAGCAAUAUGAACAAUGUGAACGAAAUGAAAAAAUCAAGCGUGCUUUUAAAUAAACUGAAUAAAAAACCAGUUAAAAAUUUAUCCUUUUCAUUAAAUAAGUAUGUAAAAUCUUACGUAAAUUUUGAUAAAAUAAAAAAUAACUCCAAAAAGGUUGACGAUGGUAAUAAUAUGUUAGCAAAAAAAAAUAAAGAUAUAUAUACAAACAAAAAUACAAAUGAAUCUUCAGAUAAAUUCGUUAAUAAAAAUUUAAAUGUUUGUGACAAUUUAAGAAGCAAAAUAGAGAGUGGUAAAUUCGAAUCAAAUAAUGCUUUCAAUAAUAAUAAUAAUAGCAGUGGCAAUAAUAAUAAUAGUAGUGGCAAUAAUAAUAAUAGUAGUGGCAAUAAUAACAAUAGUAGUGGCAAUAAUAACAAUAGUAGUGGCAAUAAUAAUAAUAAUAGCAGUGGCAACAAUAAUAAUAACAACAGUUACAAUAGUUACGCAAACAAAACAUUAUAUAUAAAACAUGAUAAUACAUUAAAUAAUAACUAUGAUAUAAACUGUAGUAUUAUGAAUAAUAAUAAUAAUUGUAGUACUGAUAAUAUUGAUCAAAAUAGGCAACAUAAAACGGGAUAUUCUUCUUUAGCUGGAUUGUAUGAUAAAAAUACGAAAGUGGACACAAAUUGGAAGAUGGGAUUAGUAAACACAAGUUCUGCUUACAAUACCAAUUCUGCUUAUAAUACCAAUUCUGCUUAUAAUACCAAUUCUGCUUAUAAUACUAACUCUGUUUAUAACAAUUGUGCUGAAAAAAACACAUACCCAAGUGAGCAUAAUACUAAUAUUAACUACAAUGAUAGUUUUAUUGAAAGUUUAAGCGAAGUUUCCGAAAUAAGUGAUUAUGAUGAUGAUAAUAAUAAAAAUAAUAAUUUAGGUAAAAAACAAACUGAUAAUUCUAAAGAAAAAUUUGAAAAAAAUGAUAUGAUAAAUAAUAUUAAAAGUUUGCAGUUAGGAAAUAAUGCUGCUAACAUUUUUUCGAAUAAUAAUAAUAAUAAUAAUUAUAAUAAUAAUAAUUAUAAUAAUAGUAGUAAUAAUAAUAGUAAUUAUAAUAAUAGUAAUAAUAAUAAUAGUAAUUAUAAUAAUAGUAGUAAUAACAAGGUGAAUAGUAAUGAUAUAUAUAACAAGAUUGCCGCAUUAAAUAAUGCCUUUUUAAUUAAUAAUACCAGUAAUGUUAUAUCAACAAAUAACCCUAAUAUAACCUCCUUAAGUAAUAAUCAAUCGAAUGAAAUAGUUCGAAAUUCACAGAAUGCUUAUAAUUUUAAUGAUAAUAAGAUGCAACAGGAAAGUAAUUUUUAUUCUUCUAAUAAUACUAUUAAUAGCUUCAGUUUUAACAAUAAUAAACCGUCGAUGGUUGAAUUAAAUAAUACUUCUAGUGGUGGUAAUAUUAAUGACCAAUUAAACAGUUUGGCAAGCUACAAAAAUAAUAAAUUGUCUAUGUUGAACUCAUCCGAAUCGAAUAGAGAUAAAUUAGAUAAUCAUAACUUAUUAAUAGGAAAUAAUUUAAAUAAUAUAAAUUUUAUAAACAAUAGAAAAGAUGGUUAUAAUGGAAUAAAUAAUUUUUUGGAACCUCAUUCGAAUAAAUAUGUGAAUGAAUUAGUACAUGAUGAUAUGACACAAGUACCUGAUAUAAAAACUGAUAAAAAAAGUAAAGACGAUGGUUGUUAUUUAUAUAAUAGAAAUACUCAUGAAGUAAGAAAUGAGCAUUACAAUAUCCAUCCAUAUGACACUGGCCUUAAUGUUGUUAAAAAAGAGCGUGAAAAUGAAAUAUAUGUUAAUAAUCUACACAAUUGUAACAACUUAUCUAAUGGUAGUUACAACUUAUCUAAUGGUAGUCACAACUUAUCUAGCGGUAGUAACAAUAGCAUCCCUACUGACAAUAGUAAUUCUACUAUACCUAGUAUUAGUAACCGUAAAAGUAAAGAUGACACUACCAACAUGAAUUUAACUGAAAUAAAAAUUGAAGAUUGUUUUAUAAAUUCAUAUGUUCCGUAUCCUCCUGAAAAAUAUAAUAACUUAUACGAUUUACAUGAAAUAAAAAUAUUAUCACCAUAUAUUUUAAAAAAAAGGUUUUAUGAUAAAGAUAUGGGUGGGUAUCCUAAUUCAUUAAAAGAUGGUAAACUAAUAUUGUUGUUAGACUUAGAUAAUACAUUAUUACAAGCAACUUCUUUUUCUAAAUUCAACAUGGAAUUACCAUUGGAAAAUUUUGUUGAUGAAAAUGGUGAACCAGAAUUAUAUAAAUUUUUUUUACCUUAUUAUAAUUUUUUUUAUUAUAUAAAAUUUAGACCCUAUGUACGUCAAUUUUUACAAAUAUUAUCAUUAUAUUAUGAACUGUCGAUAUAUACUAAUGCGACAAGAGAAUAUGCAGAUGUAGUGUUGGCAAUUUUAGAUCCGGAUAGAAGUUUAUUUGCUGAUAGAAUAGUAGCACGUUGUAGUUCAGCAGAUAGAGAUGAAAAUAAAUUUUUUACAAAAAUUUAUCCUAAUAUUAAUUCAAAAUAUGUUAUAGCAUUUGAUGAUAGAAAAGAUGUUUGGAUUGAUAUACCACAUUCACAUAUUUUAAAAGCAGAACACUAUAAUUUUUUUGAAUUAAGUAAAUAUGAUAUUAUAUCACAUUUUAAAGAACCAAGUAGUUGUAAAAAAAAAGUUUAUAGAUAUGGAUAUGCAUUUACAUUAUAUGACUAA
rnacentral:lncRNA from 1 species